CUACCCGGGUAUCUAAUCCCGUUCGCUCCCCACGCUUUCGUCCAUCAGUGUCAAUAUACCGUUAGUAGCCUGCCUUCGCAAUCGGUAUUCUAUGUGAUAUCUAUGCAUUUCACCGCUACACCACAUAUUCUAGCUACUUCACAGCAAUUCAAGGCCCCCAGUAUCAAUGGCAGUCCCACGGUUGAGCCGCGGGCUUUCACCACUGACUGAGGGGCCCACCUGCGGACCCUUUAAACCCAAUGAUUCCGGAUAACGCUCGCACCCUCCGUAUUACCGCGGCUGCUGGCAC
rnacentral:rRNA from 1 species